UCCAGUCAAGCUGCCGCAACCAGAUGGAAGUAAUCAGAACCUAACAACAACAGAGGAAGAAAAGAAAAAACCUCACUGAAUUUUCGGGCCAAAGUGAGAAGACUGAGGCUGAAAGAAGUGAAGUAACUUGUCCAAGGCCAGAGCACUGAACUGCCAUCCUCCACGAAUUCAACCCGCUCCACUCCUGCUGGAAUCCAGGCACUCCAUAACCUUUCCUGGCUUAUUUUGGCAAGAAGGUGGCUGUUGAGAAGAAGAUGGAAUCUUUUGGUUUGAGGAGAGGGUGUAAACAUCACGCCUUGAUCUCUAGAUGGUCAGAAGUCUGGGCACUGAGCAAAAACAGCAGAAGUUUUGGAGUGGAGGCAAACUGGUAGAGCAGAGAAGUGAACGAUGGACACAAGGUCCUGGCCCCAGGUCUAGAGCUAAAUGUAUGACCUUGGGCGAGUGCCAGUUCGUUCAGUCAGCACCUUUCUGUGUGCCAGGUACCAUUCCAAGUGAUGUGACAUCACAGUGAGUGGAAUGAACGAGAUCCUUCCCCUCAUGGAGCUUAAUGUUUCAUGAAUAACCACAGACAAAUACAUAAUCGCAAGCUGGGUAAAGAAAAAAUACCAAGUGAUCUAAGAGCUCACGAUGGGUGACCUGAACUAACAGGAGGCAGCAGUUGGGGGUGCCGAUAAGGCUUACCUGAGGAAGCGAGGUUGCACUGAUAGGAAGACGGAAUGAAGGAUCAAAAAAACCAAAAAUCGAUGUGUGGAACUAGGUUAAGCAAAAAAGCUUCUGCACAGCAAAGGAAGCAAUGCACAGUGUGAAAAAGCUUAUGGAAUGGGAGAAAGUACUUGCAAGCCAUAUACUGACGAGGAGUUCAUUUCCAAAAUAUGUAAGGGUCUCCUAAAACUCAAUAGCAAAAAUACAAAUGACCUGGUUAAAAAAUGGGCAAAGGGCCUGAAUAGACAUUUCACCAAAGAAGGCAUACUGAUGGCCAACAGGUACACGAAAAGAUGCUCAACAUCACUCACCGUCCAGGAAAUGCAAAUCAAAACCACAAGGCAAGGGACCUCCUGGCGGUCCAGUGGUUAAGACUCCUCAAGCUUCCAAUGCAAGGGCCACGGGUUCAAUCCCUGGUCAGGGAACUAAGAUCCCACAUGCUGCUCAGCCAGAAAAAACAAAAACAAAAAAACCCACAAGGCAAUAUCACCUCACACCUGUUAGGAUGGCUAUCAUCAAAAAAACAAAAGAUAGCAAGUGUUGGCGAGGCAGUUGAAAAAAUGGAACCCUAGUGCGCUGACAGUGGGAAUGUCAGUGCACAAGUAAUGUUGAGUGAAAUUAAAAUGGUACAAAAUAGUGUAACCAUUAUGAAAAAUAGUAUGGCGGUCUCUCAAAAAACUAAAACUAGAAUAUGAUCCAGCAAUCUCAAUUAGGACCUUGAAAAGAUAUCCACACUUCUAUGUUCAUCGCAGCAUUACUCCCAGUAAUCGAAAUAGGGGAACGACCCAAACGUAUGUCAUCAGAUGAAAUGCAUAAAGAAACUGUGGUAUAAACAUACAAUGGAAUAACGUCCUUAAAAAAGAAGGAAGGGACUUCCCUGGUGGUGCAAUGGUUAAGAAUCCGCCUGCCAAUGCAGGGGACACGGGUUCGAGCCCUGGUCUGGGAAGAUCCCACAUGCUGCAGAGUAACUAAGCCCGCGAGCCACAACUACUGAGCCUGCACUCUAGAGCCCGUGAGCCACAACUACGGAACCUGUGUGCUGCAACUACUGAAGCCCGCGCACCUAGAGCCUGUGCUCCGCAACAAGAGAAGCCACCGCAAUGAGAAGCCCGCGCACAGCAACGAA